rnacentral:lncRNA from 1 species
GGUUGAGCAAACUGUCCUGAAGAAAUUCUGGCCGGAAAGUACUGUAGCUGCCGGAAAAGUUAUUGUCGCCGGAAAAAAUUGAAAGUUGUCGGAAUCGAACAAAAAAAAGUAUGGGUAGGGUCGGAAUUGAGAGCCGACCAAACUGUCCUUCUGGAGCAAAGUGAAAAAGUGGCCGGAAGGGCCCUCACGCGCCGAGGAUCUUGCCGGCGCGUGGGGGCGCGUGAGUUGAGCUUUUCCGGUGAAUUUUUCUGGGGUUGGUCGGAAUACUAUUCCGAACCUCGUGGUGGUCUCGGAUUUGGCACAACACCAACAAAAAGGGUAGUUUUAGUUACGGACAGCCUCUUAAGUCGCCGG